rnacentral:lncRNA from 10 species
GAUUUGUCCGCCUUGCCUCACCCUCUAAACGGGCACCUGAUGAUGGAAUGACUCCGCUGGAUUUGUCUUUCCAGCAAUUAGAACGAAUCUCAUGAUAGGCAAGUCAAUACUGGUUGAAUAAAUUAAUGUUGCUUUUUUUUUUAGCCCCUUCUAUAUAAGUAAAAAUCACGUUGCUAGUUUAGGAAUAACUAGAAGUUUUAUUCUUAAAUUGGUUAACAAAUGAAAUAUUGAUGUUGCAUUAUGAAUUUAAGAUUGAGAUAAGGAAGGAAUAAAAAUUGGGGAGAUACUUGAGGAAAAUAGUGUAAAAGUUGACAGAAAAAAAGCUUGACAGUACAUUUUUCUAUUUUUGCUAAUUAUUUUUCAUAUACUUGAAACCAAACAGAAGAAAACAACAACGACAACAACAACUUCUUAGUUGUACUGUUUUACAAUAUUUGUUCGAUAUGUGCUAUCCAUCAUUUAAUUCUUCGGUGAAGACAAUAGUGACAGGGAAAUGAAUACUUUGCCAAAGAUGUGCUUAGGAACUUUGAAUAUUUGUGCAGGUCCAGGGUUGUCAGUGCUGUUGAGGUUGCAGAGGCAAGAAAUGAAGGCUGCAGAGAGUGAAGUGGGGUUUUAAGCUCAAUAGGUUACUCUUGGGUCUGGGGCAGAGCCACAUUGGGAAUUAGGCACAUUUGCCCUGAUCCUCAGCCGGUAAAUGGGUAUCCUCCCGACAGUUUCAAAGUGGUUCUGGCUGUGUUUAAC